GUGCUCGCUUCGGCAGCACAUAUGCUAAAAUUGGAACGAUACAGGAAGAUAGCAGGCCCCUGCGCAAGGAUGACAUGCAAAUUCAUGGAACAUUCCAUAUUUUU
ensembl:snRNA U6 U6 spliceosomal RNA